rnacentral:rRNA from 1 species
UACGUAGGGUGCAAGCGUUAAUCGGAAUUGCUGGGCGUAAAGCGUGCGCAGGCGGUUAUGCAAGACAGAUGUGAAAUCCCCGGGCUCAACCUGGGAACUGCAUUUGUGACUGCAUAGCUGGAGUGCGGCAGAGGGGGAUGGAAUUCCGCGUGUAGCAGUGAAAUGCGUAGAUAUGCGGAGGAACACCGAUGGCGAAGGCAAUCCCCUGGGCCUGCACUGACGUUCAUGCACGAAAGCGUGGGGAGCAAACAGG